rnacentral:lncRNA from 1 species
AAGCUUAGCUUUAUACUUAGGACUAUCAACAUAAUAUCAAUGAUAAGUAUAGAAGGUGAGACAUUUCAGCGUGUGCACUCUUGUUGGUUAUUAUCUUGAAUACUAUUAUAGAUAGAGAUAAACUGUAAACAGCAAUAAUGUUCAGCAAAGUAAGAUCUACAAAUAAGUGAACAUGAUCAAAAUUGUUAGAGGACCCCUUAAGGAGUUAUUGCGCUUUAUAGUCAAUAUUGAACAACUUUUCAUCAUUUUUGUAACUUUGUGUACAAAAAUCUUCUUUUCUAAAACUAUGGGCCAAAUUUAACCAAACUUGGCCACAAUCAUUACUAGGGUAUCUAUGUGCCGUAUUCCAAGCUGGCUAUUCAAAACAAAUAUAU